UUCCAAGAGGAGUUCAACAAAUCAAGGCAGUGUGGAAAAUGAUCCCGAUUUGUAUUAUGUGGUGUAUAUGGCAAGAGCGCAAUGAUCGGACCUUCGAAGACAAGGAGCGGUCUCCGGAGGAACUUAGAACUCUAUUUUUUAGUACUUUAUUUCUAUGGGCCAUUGCUUUAAAUUUUUAUGGCCUGAAUUUUCAUGACUUUUUAGUUUCCCUUACUUCGACCUAGAUACGUCAUAUCUCUUGUAUACCAUCUUGUGUACUUGGACUUUGCCUAUCUCUCUUAAUAUAUUAUUUGAUUACUUAUAAAAAAAAAUAUUCCUUCACAGAUUUUUUUUACAUA